CCUACGGGAGGCAGCAGUGAGGAAUAUUGGUCAAUGGGCGGGAGCCUGAACCAGCCAAGUCGCGUGAGGGAAGACGGUCCUAUGGAUUGUAAACCUCUUUAGGCGGGGAGCAAUGCCGGGCACGUGUGCCCGGAGGGAGAGUACCCGCAGAAUAAGCAUCGGCUAACUCCGUGCCAGCAGCCGCGGUAAUACGGAGGAUGCGAGCGUUAUCCGGAUGUAUUGGGUUAAAAGGGUGCGUAGGCGGAUUUUAAAGUCAGCGGUAAAAUGUCCGGGCUCAACCCGGGCCGGCCGUUGAAACUGGGGAUCUUGAGUGGGCGAGAGGUAUGCGGAAUGCGUGGUGUAGCGGUGAAAUGCAUAGAUAUCACGCAGAACUCCGAUUGCGAAGGCAGCAUACCGGCGCCCGACUGACGCUGAGGCACGAAAGCGUGGGGAUCGAACAGGAUUAGAUACCCCUGUAGUC
rnacentral:rRNA from 1 species